rnacentral:ncRNA from 2 species
UGUGGGAGCGGGCUUGCCCGCGAUGCUGGCGACGCGGUUUAGCGUUGAAAUCGUGUUGAUGCCAUCGCGGGCAAGCCCGCUCCCACA